rnacentral:RNase_P_RNA from 1 species
UAUAUUAUUAGUAAGGGUGAAAAGGUGAGGUAAGAGCUCACCACAUGCAAGGUAACAAGUAUGGUGAAGCAAACCCCACUAGGAGCAAGGCAAAUUUAUAGCAUUUUGUCAGCCUAAGACACGCUAUAUGGUAAGCUGCUAGAGAUUUUUGGUGACAAAAAUUCGAGAUUAAUGAUCAUACAUGACAGAACCCGGCUUAUAGGCUGGCUCUCCGC